AUGCUCUCGGAGUCGGCCGACUCGGUGUUUUGGCCACUUUUGGCCUCUGGUAAAUUUUCGGUUAAGUCGUUGUAUUCUAGACUCAUUGGUGGUACCCCCUCGGCUAGAUUCUCUUGUGUCUGGAAAUCAAGGGUUCCUCCAAAAAUUAAGAUUUUUCUCUGGCAAGCCUUUCGUGGUCGCCUCCCUACUGCUGAUCAGAUCAAAAAACGCAAUGGGCCGGGCUCUGAAUUCUGUAACCUGUGUGGGGCCUUGGAAAAUUCGGACCACAUCUUUUUCAACUGUGUACUUGCCAAAUUAGUUUGGUCUUGCGUCAGAUCUUGGCUUCGGGUUUCCUGGGUCCCUCCUCUUUCUUUGAUAUUAGAACUCUAG
rnacentral:rRNA from 1 species